AUUGAACGCUGGCGGCAUGCUUUACACAUGCAAGUCGAGCGGUAACAGGCCUUCGGGUGCUGACGAGUGGCGAACGGGUGAGUAAUGCAUCGGAACGUACCCAGAGGUGGGGGAUAACGCAGCGAAAGCUGUGCUAAUACCGCAUGUGAUCUGAGGAUGAAAGCGGGGGACCGAGCAGCAAUGUUUGGCCUCGCGCCUUUGGAGCGGCCGAUGUCGGAUUAGCUAGUUGGUGGGGUAAAGGCCUACCAAGGCGACGAUCCGUAGCUGGUCUGAGAGGACGACCAGCCACACUGGGACUGAGACACGGCCCAGACUCCUACGGGAGGCAGCAGUGGGGAAUUUUGGACAAUGGGCGCAAGCAUGAUCCAGCAAUGCCGCGUGCGGGAAGAAGGCCUUCGGGUUGUAAACCGCUUUUGGCAGGAACGAAACGGUGUCCGCUAAUACCGGGCGCUAAUGACGGUACCUGCAGAAUAAGCACCGGCUAACUACGUG
rnacentral:rRNA from 1 species